GCAAAUUCGAACCCGGACGGGAAAAGCGAGCGUGCGGAAUCGUGCGUGCUAGUGUAUGUGCGAGUGCUAGUGGUCAGCCGGGCGAUACGCGCAAAAGAGUGCAACGAUGGGCAACAGCAACCGGCCCACAGCAUGUUCGUUCCGUGGUCGUCGGUGCGUUCGUUCGAUUGGGAAACGGUUUUCAAGCAAACUUUGCCACACAGCAAUGAUCGCAGCGGGCAGUUGGAAAAGCGUACCAAAACAAACCCCACUCACCAGUGAUGGUGGUCGUACCGGGAGAGCGCGUGUGUGUUAUCCUUCUCCGAAACCGUGACCGGUGUGAAAUGUGUCCGUUUUUUCGUUUGUGUAUUAUCCGGUGACCCUGUCAACAAUAAACGAGUAGUGGACAACACCGCUCCACAUCACGUUCAUCGAUGGCGUGGUAGCAUGCGUUCGGCCGACAAGUGAAUGGCAUUCCAAAAGCUGCAAUAGUAAAACCCUGCUAACACAUCCUAGUGACGGUGGCGUGAACCUCUCGGAUAGGUCAAAAGGAUAUGCGGUUAUGUUUGAUUACACACCCGUACGAUGAAUGCUUUAAGUCCACAUCCAACAUCACACACCGAGCAACAAACAAAGUGAAUACGUUUAUUGUUGAUAUUUUGAAAUACUCUCUCGUGCAAAUGCUUUGCGUUUUGUAACCGUAUUUUGUUAACUUUCCUCUCUCAAACGGAUGUAAACAUAUGAAGCAUUAGUUUUCCCAUCAUCAUCACACCUGAUACAAAAGGUUCACGAAAGGAUAUGUCGCACAGGACACACGACGGAAAUAUGGAGUGCACUCUCUCGCUUCAGCAAUGAUAAGCAUAAAUGUGAAAUGCGAAGCUCAGCUGUUUGUGUUGUACCGGAACAUGCUAAAUCGUGACAGUGAAUCCACCUUUUCAACGCAAAUUUCCUUGGUGAACGUAUCUCAAUGCAAACCGAGCACCAUUGAAGAUGUGGCUUGUGUUACAAUUCGGUUACUCUUAAGUUUGAUGGCCAGCAGAAAUUAAAUUGUUGUGGACAAAAACCUUCGCAAGUAAAACGACUCCCGAUGAUGACUGUGUGCCAAUUCGUUUCGAAUAAAAUUGCACCUUGGCUCUGUGCUUCACAUUGACAUAAGCGUAUUUUCUAAUCGAAAGCUUGGAAGAAUAACGCCGUGAUUGGCAUUAUUGCAGGAGUCGACACUUUGCAGGCGUGGGUAUUUUCGCUGAAUAGAGAGACUUAGAGAGAAGUGCAUAUACAUUUACAACCAAUCCCCGAAAUAUUUAGUUUUGUUCAAGUACAUUUUCGUUCACACAAAUGAGAGAUGCAGUGAGAAAUGUUCCUUUCAACAUUUCAACAAAACCUGUGAUGGACUGGAGGAGGACUAACAAUGCCCCGAAGUACGCACCACCCACGUAACGAACGUAACAACGACGCCGAGCUGACGUGAAAAUUGCUUUAAGAAACAAAAAAACAAACAUUCACACAAGAACAACAAAUUAACUAAAUGAUCGAACACAUAAACGAUUCCAACAAACAUGCAUACACGAUCCUUCGCGACGCUUUAUCCUAACGGAGCAACAUUAUAGACAAGCGCAUGAACACUGCAAAACACAACGUUCCGCAAGGGCAUAGAAAAACGAGGAAAUUGCAUCGAAAACACGAUACAACCGAUAAUCGACCUGCGUCAUACUCGCAAAACAAGUAAGCAAACAUGAAACGAUGAACGGGGAAGGCGAAGAAAAAAGCACAGAUAAACAGAAGAAAUGCAACAAUUAAGUUCCUACUCUAAAAUAAAGAAAAAAUGAAACAUGAAACAUAGAUAAAAAUAUACGUUAUAAACGAGAGUGUAAUAAUUGUACUAUUUAGGCGCAUGAAUUUAUCCCGGAAUCGGAUUGUUCGAUGUUUUUGGGAGUGACACAAAGAGAAAAACGAAAAAAAAAUGGAUGAUUAAAAAAAAGAAAUACAUGCCACAAAUCCACAUGAAACGCAUAUACAAAAUGUGUGAAGAAAAGCAACACAUCAUGGACGCUAAAUCGUGAUGAUGUAAAUGUAAAGUUAUAAGAGACUGAACGUUUGCCGUGCAGCCGGUAUUUGGGUUGGUACUCGCGUAUGCUUCUGUUUAUUGCAAAAGUGUAAUCGGAAAUAUAAAAA